GGUGACAUAUUGGGAGCAACUGAGUUAAGAGGUCCAGUUACUUACCGGUAUAAUGAUUUGAAGUCUGCAACGAAAAAUUUUAGUGAUGAAAAUAAAUUAGGAGAAGGAGGUUUUGGAGAUGUAUACAAGGUACUAUACUUAGUUAAUUUUGAACAUUUUUUUGGUAUAAUACAUAUUUACAUAUAAGCAUGAUUUUGUCUGAAUUGAUGAUAACUGCAGAAAAAAUUUGUUAUAGGUAUUAUCUCUUUUACAUAAAUAUUGCUUUUAAGAUUAAGAAAAUAAUUAUUAAUCGUCAUUUGUAUUGAUGAUUCGACAAUUAUGGUACGGGGCACUUUAAAAAAUGGUAACGUAGUAGCUGUCAAGAAAUUGAUUUUAGGCCAUUCCAGCAAGAUGGAUGAACAAUUUGAAAGU
rnacentral:lncRNA from 1 species